ensembl:lncRNA
GAUUCCUGCUCCUCCUCUUCUUCUUCUGAUAGUGAAGAUGACGAGAAGAAGAAGAAGAAAAAGAAGAAGAAGACCAAGAAGAAGAAGGAUAAGGAUUCCUGCUCCUCUUCCUCUUCUUCUGAUAGUGAAGAUGACGAGAAGAAGAAGAAAAAGAAGAAGAAGAAGAAGAAGAAGAAGAAGAAGAAGGUAAAACAAACUUUUACUGGUUAUUGUUUUAAGGAAUUAAUGUCACGCUGCUGAUGCUCAUGAACAGUCUGAAUGAACAAAGAUGCUCUUCUGCUUUUCUAGAAGUGCUGCUGUUGUGACGAUGGCUCCUCUUCGUCCUCUGAUAGUGAUGCUGACAAGGUGAGAUGACACGCACACAUAAUGUUCACUACUCAAUCAACUAUAUCUGCCCUGACGUUUACCAUUCAUCAUAAGUGUAUGUCUUGUUUUUAUUUAGAAGAAGAAGAAAAAAAAAGAUAAGAAGAAGAAGAAGAAGAAGAAGAAGAAGAAGAAGGUGAGAAUGACUCCACCUUUGUUUUUUCCAUUCCAGGUUAUUAUAUAAGUAACAAAGUUUAGUCAUUGACGACUCUUUCUAUGUGACAUUACCUGAAGAAAACAAACUAUUGAUGAUCUUUGGUCAAUGGAAAUGUAAUUACUACUGUAUGAAUGAAAUGCAAUGUGUAUUAUCAUCAUUUCUUUUUCUCUCCAGGAUUCUUCUUCUGACUGCUCGAGCGAUUCUUCUAGUGAUGAUGAUAAGAAAAAGAAGAAGAAGAAGAAGAAGAAGAAGAAGGAUAAGAAGAAGAAGAGCAAGAAAGACAAGAAAAAGGACUCCGAUUCUUCUAGCAGUGAUGAUGACAAGAAGAAAAAGAAGAAGAAAGACAAGAAGAAGAAAAAGAAGAAGGACAAAAAGAAGGACUCCAGUUCAUCGAGUUCAUCUGAUAGUUUCUGUGGCAGUGACAAGGAAAAUAAAAAGGACGAGAAGGACGAGAAGGACGAGAAGGACAAGAAGGACGAGAAGAAGAAGGAAUGCCCUGAGCAAUGCGACAAGCCAAAAACGGAAGUUUCCGGCUCAGGUGGUGGCGGCUUUUCAGCUCCCAGUGGCAGCUACUCUAAGUCUGCAGUUGCUCCUGGCGGUGGUCCUGCCAGGUGAUCCUGCCGGUGGUCCUGCCGGUGGUCCUGCCGGUGGUCCUGCCGGUGCUCCUGCCGGUGCUCCUGCCGGUGCUCCUGCCGGUGCUCCUGCCGUCUCUUACGCGUCACUCCCCUCCAAACCCUUUGUGAAGCUGGAUCCGAGUCUUUCAACUGUCUCCAAGCCCCCUUUCUCUAGCACCACCCUGAGUAUGGGAGAUAGGGCCCCCAUUCGCAGACCUCCCAGCCCCAUGGAGUCUUUGAUGGGGAGCCCGAGGAGGUAUGGAGAGCGUUCCACCUCCCACCUCACCUCCAGUGACCUAUUGAAAGGCCCCAAGCCUUACUAAUAAUGAGAUGUCAUGGAUAGAAAUGUGAUUUUACUGAUACUGGAGGAUGUUGAAUGUGAUGAUGAUAUGAUUAGAGGUUAGUGUGUAAAGAUGCAUUGUGACAUGAUGAACAUUGUCAAGUCGAGGAAGAUAAUUACACCAUGAGAAAUCAUUUUGUUAUAAAAACUUUUACUUAAUAGUUCAUAAUUUGUCAAUUUAAUUGUUAAAAAAAUGCACAUUUGUGGCAGAAAUGUCAAUUCAUAAUCACAUGAAAUAAUUAGAAAUCCUUGCUUUGUGGAAUAAAAUAAUAUGAUUUCAU